AGAAACAUCUCAAGGAUAAUCAAUAGAAACGGGAUGCACCUGAGCAAAAUUUCGAGUCUCAUAGCAAAGGGUCUGAAUACUUCUAAAAACCUGUUUUGCUUUGUCAUUAUGGGGUAUUAUUUGUAGAUUGAUGAGGACAAAUUGUUAUUAUAUCAAUUUUAGAACAAGGCUGUAACGUAACAAAAUGUUGAUAAAGUCAAGGGUUCUGAACACUUUCUGAAUGCACCGUAUAGAACUAGAAAACCAGUUUACGACUAUGAAAUGGCGUCACUAAGCCAAAUGUUAUAUUGUAUAUCUGAGACAGCUCUAAAUGUUCUCUUUCUUUCCCAGGUGGUGGAUGUGACUUCCUGUCUGUAGCCCAUGUGACUGAUGACUGAGUUUAUCCCUCCUCGUGAGACAACAGACACACAUGUCACAAUAUACAUCACUGGAUUCUGUCUCGGUGCGGGAGGUGAUUGAAAGGGAUGGAAUUAGAGAAAUUCUAACAACUUCUCAGUGUAAACUGACCCUGAAAAAAGAAUACACCCUCUCCACUUAUUCUGCAGAUGGACAUCAAAUACAACCAAACGCAAAUCUGGGCUAUUUUUGAAGAACAAUUUUUUAUAUUCCGAUGUAACUUUUCAUUUCAUUCUCACUGACUACAAAGGUCUCUUGAUUUCAGGAAGCAGUGUUUGUGAAAUGUGAUUCCUAUGAAAACAACUACUUUCAGUUGUUCUUAUAAACUACAGUUAAAGAAGUUGAUCUGCUUCUGAAAGAAAAGGAAGGUGAUGAACUUGUAUGGAACAGACUUGUCUGGCUGCCAGGUAACAGACAUUCAGAGAUCAAAUCAAAUGAGGUCAGACCAGGAGCAGCAGAACUAGUACAUGUUGUAGUUCUCUGAUAGUAUUAUUGUUACGUGUUGUAGUUCUCUGAUAGUAGUACUGUUACAUGUUGUAGUUCUCUGAUAGUAGUACUGUUACAUGUUGUAGUUCUCUGAUAGUAGUACUUACAUGUUUGUAGUCUUGCAUUUUAGAUUUCUGUUACAUGUUGUAGUUCUCUGAUAGUAGUACUGUUACAUGUU
rnacentral:lncRNA from 1 species